ACGAACGCUGGCGGCGUGCUUAACACAUGCAAGUCGAACGGGCCCGCUCUCUUUUUUGGGGGUGGGUUGAGUGGCGAACGGGUGAGUAUCACGUGAGUAACCUGCCCCCUGCUCCUGGAUAACUGCUUGAAAGGGCGGCUAAUACGGGGUGUGCCGGCUGGUCCGCAUGGGCCUGGUCGGGAUAGUUUCAUCUUCGGGUGUUUCGGUGGGGGAUGGGCUCGCGGCCUAUCAGCUUGUUGGUGGGGUGAUGGCCCACCAAGGCGGUGACGGGUAGCCGGCCUGAGAGGGUGGGCGGCCACACUGGGACUGAGACACGGCCCAGACUCCGGCGGGAGGCAGCAGUGGGGGGUAUUGCACAAUGGGCGGAAGCCUGAUGCAGCGACGUCGCGUGAGGGAUGGAGGCCUUCGGGUUGUGAACCUCUUUCUCCGGUGGUGAAGGCCCUGUCCGUUGCGGCGGGGUUGACGGUAGCCGGGUAUGAAGCGCCGGCUAACUACGUG
rnacentral:rRNA from 1 species